rnacentral:rRNA from 1 species
UCGCACGAGAAAGGGACUUCGGUCCUGAGUACAGUGGCGCACGGGUGAGUAACACGUGAAUAAUCUACCUUCGAGUGGGGAAUAACUGAGAGAAAUCUUAGCUAAUACCGCAUAAUACCUACGGGUCAAAGCAGCAAUGCGCUUGAAGAGGAGUUCGCGGCAGAUUAGUUAGUUGGCGGGGUAAUGGCCCACCAAGACGAUGAUCUGUAUCCGGCCUGAGAGGGCGCACGGACACACUGGAACUGAAACACGGUCCAGACUCCUACGGGAGGCAGCAGUGGGGAAUUUUGCGCAAUGGGGGAAACCCUGACGCAGCAACGCCGCGUGGAGGAUGAAAUCCCUUGGGAUGUAAACUCCUUUCGAUCGGGAAGAUAAUGACGGUACCGAGAGAAGAAGCCCCGGCUAACUUCGUGCCAGCAGCCGCGGUAACACGAGGGGGGCAAGCGUUGUUCGGAAUUAUUGGGCGUAAAGGGCGCGUAGGCGGUUUGAUAAGUCACAUGUGAAAUCUUCGGGCUCAACCCGAAGUCUGCAUGCGAAACUGUCGGGCUUGAGUAUGGGAGAGGUGAGUGGAAUUUCCGGUGUAGCGGUGAAAUGCGUAGAUAUCGGAAGGAACACCUGUGGCGAAAGCGGCUCACUGGACCAUAACUGACGCUGAUGCACGAAAG